UAGUUGUUGUUCGUCUACGGAAUCAUUUUCGAGUUGUACCGCAACACAGUCGGCGCUUGUGUUCGGGAUUUUUUUCUUUUUGUAAUUGAGUCAACAGUUAUACUCCUCGUUGUCGGCUACGCAGUGACGUUGUGUUAAUGCGUAUUUGAAUGCUUAAAAUACUUAAGAUACACUUUCAUAUUAGAAAAAUAUAGGAAGUAAUAGCCAAAAAUGUCCUAAUGUGAAGCCGCAGCGACUGUGUGUACCGCUACAUGCUACGUGGACAGUUAAUGUUAAGUGGCUGGUCGCUAAUACGCUAAGGGAGUCAUGUAUUCCGGCGAAAACAUCUUAAAUUUAAAAGAAAUUCAACCGGGCAAAUGUUAAGAGGCUUAAAAACUGAUCCACUCCUUUCCGAGAGAGUUGAUUUGGAGUAUCGGCGGAGGUCGGCUUGUUCACUGACAUCAUGGUGCUCUGAAAACCACAGGAAAUAGCCACGGGGCUCAGUCUCCUCCGUACACCGUUAAGGAGCACCGCAAGCCUGGCUACACUUCUGCUUGGUGGUGACAUCUGUUAAAAUCCAGUCUUGGUGAAAUCGGGAAAGAUGAUGUAUUCAUCGAGGAGAAAGCCCGUCCUCUACUUUAAAGAGGAGCGUAGGUUCCUGUCUGGUAAAUGUACAGUCUACAAGCUAUUUGGCCUCUGCAUGGUGUUGGUGCUGGUCUCACUGCUGUGGCUGCAGCUCAGCUGUUCAGGUGACUUUUCUGCAGUGGCACACAACGAGAGACCCCUCUCCCAACAGCAGCCCCCUCCGCCCCCCUGCCUCUCUGACAGUCAGUUGUCUGCAAUAGACGACUCUACCUGGGGGCCUCACAAACUGGCCCUCAUCAUCCCCUUCAGAGAGCGCUUUGAAGAGCUGCUGGUGUUUGUCCCCUUUAUGCACACAUUCCUCAACAAAAAGAAGAUCCGCCACAAGAUCUUUGUUAUCAACCAGGUGGAUCACUACAGGUUCAAUCGAGCGUCUCUCAUUAACGUUGGUUACCUGGAGAGUGGUAAUGACACAGACUACCUGGCCAUGCAUGAUGUGGACCUGCUGCCAAUGAACGAGGCUCUGGACUAUGGUUUCCCAGAAGACGGUCCGUUUCACGUGGCCUCGCCUGAGCUGCAUCCUCUCUACCACUACAAAACCUACGUGGGAGGAAUCCUGCUGCUCACCAAGAAGCAUUACUUCAUGUGUAACGGAAUGUCAAACCGGUUUUGGGGUUGGGGCAGAGAAGAUGAUGAGUUUUACAGACGACUCAGAAAAGCUGAACUCCAGCUGUUUAGACCGAGUGGAAUCACCACAGGAUAUAAAACCUUCACGCACAUCCACGACCCAGCCUGGAGGAAACGUGACCAGAAGAGAGUUGCAUCUCAGAAACAGAAUCAAACCGUGGCCAAACAUAUGUCAGCAUCAUGCGUGGCUGUGUUUUACAUCUUCUCUCCAGCUGUACGUCAAGUGUGUAAAGGUUUCAUCUGCACUGGAAUGACUGAGAAAUGAAAAAGAGGAGUUUGUAAGCGCCACCUGCCCCUGUCGACCCGACAAACAUCUUGAUAAACUACAUUUCAACCUGAUAAAACUAAAACCAGGUGAUGUCGGUCUGAUUCCCCCAUAUGUUCUUUAUUCCUCCUGAAGAACUAAUGAAGACGGCACGAAGCUGACGGCCAAGUCGGCCGUCGACCAAAUUCUCCCAGAGCCAAGACUCUGACAGUGUUCGUAUACGAUCUCAUUACAAAUGACUAAAAUAAUCACAGCGCUGAUAUAAUAAUAAUGAGACUCUGACUUUGAACUCCUCUCCUUUUGUUUCAUUUGCUUUCCCUUGUAUUUUGCUCUCUCUGUUUGCCUUUACCUCUUCACGCAGCAUAAUUUAGUGUGAUGUACUGUAUACACCUGUUUUAAUAAAUUAAUACUUACUCUUUGUUCUGUUUGUGUAGGUCUGGAAAAAAGUAAGAAGAUCAAUUUGUCAUUCAGUCCUUCACAUCUAAUUUUUCUCCCAGUCGGGCCGUUGAUGAACAGGAUCCGCUCCAAACAUCUUGUGUGGAAAUUUUCGGACUGGUUGCGAGGCAGCCAUCUGUGGCACCAGGCCUUCAGCAGCCAAACACCGCCGCAGGGUCCGGAAGAGGGAGGCUGAGCGACAACAUCUCUGUUACAGUUUGGAAGACAAAUCUUUGACCCAUCAUCAUUUAAGGGACAUUUUGUCUUUUUAAAGAUGUAAUGGUAAAAAAAUACCCUGCCUUUAUUCAUUUUAUCAACUCCUUUUAUUAACCUGUCCUAACUUUUUUUAAGGUUAAGCUGAAGUUGAAGUUUCUACAAACGCAGUCUUCACCUUUGUGAGUCACAGCGUGUCGUGCUGGUUGUGCCAUUGUUUAGGAUGCCGUUGGGGGAGGGAAGGUGAUGUCACGUCUGCGCCCAAGGCUCUGCAAAUGUUGACACCUCCAGCUCUCAGUCAGAUCGCAGUUGUCGCAGACAUAAGACAUAAGGGACAAGAAUCAUCAGAUCUCCCCUCGUAAGAGAUGCUUACCUUGUUCACACAUCUGAAGGAUCUGGGGUUUGCGCAAACGUGUCGUACAGUUAGUGCAUUCAAUCCAGAAACGGUGAAAAAAUAAGAUCUGACGGGAAGAAGAGGAGAGAAGGAUGGGGAUGAUGAAGAGGAGCAGAAAGAAGAAGAGGGACAGUAUGAGGAGAAGUGCUACAUAAGGAGGUGUUGAGAUCAUAGGGGCUGAUAACCAGGUUUGUCAAAACUCUGGCCCUUGGGACCAUCCUGGUACUUGAAAGAGUUUCUUGUGGCCCUAAAUCCGACUAAAGGAGUGUCCUUUAUUCAACGAAAGCUCUCCAGCGGCUGAUGUGCUGACCGCCCUUCCUCUUCUGCUGAGCCUCUGGAGACUCUUCCUCCAACUUUUGACGCUUGUGCUUCGUCCUGCGGUUCUGAAACCACACCUUCACCUGGGCAGAGACACAUAGACAACAUAUUUUGAGAACCAAGCAUUUCAAUCUCAUAACAGAACAGGCUUAAUUUUUUAUAUGAACAAUGGCAAACAGAAUGGGAAAAAAAUAACUAUAGAUAGUGAGAGUAUAGUGCUCUGAGGAAUUCUGAGUUCCAUCCAGGUAUACAGGUUGUUUGUUUUUUUUUUUACAAAAGGGCAGACAAGGAUUUUUGUUUUGUUUUAAUUUGCAUUAUUAUUUUACCAGGUAUUUACAAGGAGUGCCCCGUGCUGCAAGAUCAUCUUUGAGAAAAUAACCAGAAUCUUUGUUCCUUGAACCCUGCUUGAGGUACUGUACUUAGCACUGACUGCCCCAUGAGCACCACUUGCUGUUUAAACCAGCCUUAACAACUAUGCACAUUUAGUAAAAACAUGUCCCUGCAAGCUAAAUUUGCAGCUUUUAUAGUCUUUAGUGCAGAGGAGUGAGAGUUUACAAAAAUUAGUUUCCUCUCAGAAAACUCUGCCCAACCCUGAGAUAAAGCAACGGAAAUAUUCUUUAGAAAUUGCAGUUUUAAGUUGGCGUAAAAUUUAUGAGCUGACUCUUUUGUUAAAUCUGUUUUUCUAUGUGUCCCCGCUGGCAAACAUGUAGGUUUUCACUUGUCGAAAGCUUUAAUUAUUACUGUUUUUGGGAUGAGGGCCUGCACUGAGACUCUGUUCUCCCUGUCUCCAUUGUGUGUGAAGGUGAAACCAAUGUGUAGCAGCUGUAAUUUAUGUCUGAUUAAUAACCCGCUGACUGCAAUUCACUGUUGAUUGAUGGAUACACCCCCCUCCUUGUCCUCCGUCUUUUCCUGUCUUCUGUUGUGAAAUGAUCUCAUAAAUAACUGUAGAUGAUUCAGGUCGUUACACUGGCGUCAGGCCUCACAUCACUGUGGCGACCUGAUGACAAACACUGUCACUCACGGCUGAGAAAAGCGGAGAGGUAGCUGACUAACAUCUGAGUCACACACACACACACACAGGCAAAAUCUAGUUGGUGAAGUUCCAGAAGGAAUUAUCUUGUCUUUUAUUUUAACUUUGGAAGAAGAAUUUAUACCUGCUGUUUAUUUUUCAUCUUUUUAUUAAACAUAAUCACAGAGGAAAUAAUCAACAUCAUCAUCAACAAUUUAACGCCUAAAAGGUUUCUAGAAAAAUAUGGAUCCAUACAAUGUUUUUUUUUUUUUUGUUUUGUUUUGUUUUAAAAGCCACACAAAUACCGUUUAUAGUAGUGUGUUCAUCUGCAGUGUCUCCAUGCUCCACCUGUAUUUUUCUUUAUUUCUUUUGCUCUUCUUUGUAUAAGUUUAAUCAGUGAAAAAUAGCCCCAAUAGAUGACGGUAAUAAAAUCUUAUACAACGUACAGUUGCUAUUAGAAACCCAGAAGAAGAACAGCUUGUGGCGCUGGCGCUGCAGACUACGUGGUGCACAUUUUGCUAAUUAAGAGUCAGUUCCUCUUUAAACCUCAAUUGAAGAGUAUUUUUUUUAUUUUUGUACUCAUUCCUACCUGCGUCUCUGUUAGACAAAGCCCACUGGCCAACUGCUUCCUCUCCGCACCGACCACGUAGUGAUUCUUGUCAAACGCUCGUUCUAGACGCAGCAGCUGUGAUGGAGAAAAUGCCGUUCUGAUCCGUUUGGGUUUCCUGGAAAAUGGACCGUGAAGCAGAAGGUUCUCUGGACUGGCAUCUUCACCUGAAACACAAAAAUUUGCUCCUGUGUUGAAUGAACUGAUUUAUCAACAUCUCUGCACUAGCUUCUCUGUUGGCCUUCGUUCACCACAGUGAUCAGGUGUCUGGUGAUGUCACCCCCCCUACAGCUCAGAGAAGCACAUGAAAACGAUGUGAGUGUCAGCAGAGAAAGAAGAACCAGCCCUUCCUGUCUGUGACGAGGCAUCUGCUGUGAUGAAGAGAGGAAGAAGAAGAAAACUAAAAAGAGGAAUGUAAACAAGAGCAGGUGCUGCAAACUGAGCCACAGAGAGCUCUGACCUGUCAAUCAGAUGUCAAAAACUUCCAAGAAACACCAACCACAUGAUAGGAGGAGGAGGAGGAAGAUGUGGAGAGUUAAAAAGAGGAGAAGAAGGGAAAUGAGAGGAAGAAGGAGGAAGUGAAUCAGGGUCGUAGGAAAAGGAUAGAAAAAGGGGAGAUUAGGAGAAUAGGAAAGGAAGUAGUAGUAAAAGGAAGAGAAAGAGGACAUGAAAGACAAGAAAAAUUAGAAGAAAAAAAGCAGGUGAAAAGAAAAGGGUCGAAAAUAAAUUCAGUUCAGGAGUAGCACCAGAGCUGGAGAAAGAAGUAGUAAAA